UCCCAAGUUAGGAUUACGUAAUAAGUGUUAUCGUGUACGUAAGAGAGAAUUCCGAUACGGCCGUGUGAUUGUGUGAAGCAGCGGUCACAUAACGUACCGCCACCCCUCCCGCCGACGCUUACCGUUCGCCGAUAACAGCACGGCGCGCAGGCCAAAACGGGUUGCUACUACUGCUACGAUAGUCCACUACUACGAUAAUAUUAUAAUGCUCCGAAUGUCGAAUGCUGCGAAUUCAAGAUCUCCGAUUAUACACAACUACGAAUGUAGAUCAAGCUACUUCGAUAUUAUCAAUAUUAUCAUUGAUAAACUGUAAAAUCAAUUGCUGUGAUGUUACUAUAAAAUAUGUUUGUGCCUGUUUGGUGUUUUUAAUUUUGUUUGUGGUUUAGUGAACGAAGUACAUAAUUGAUAUGAAUUUCGAUGUGCUAAUUCCUGAAUAUAAUAUACAGAAUUCGGAUGUUCCGAGUUACCGUCAUAAAUUUACUUUGAGUUUUGUUUGAUGGAAUUAUAACAACUGCCCGAGCAACUACCCAUCAUGACAUAUCACUUGAACUAAUUCCAUUACUUUUGCAAACAAAAUCUGAAAUAGGUAAUGGUAAAGAACAACUCAAAUGUUAAAAAAAAUAAAAUCUAGAAGAAGGAACCUUCGAAACUCUGAUUCAAAACGUUGUGCCCAUAGUUGUAUGGAUGGUAAUGCAUUAAGACAUAUUUAUCACCAACACCAGCAACUAUUGAAUACAAUUAUUAUAAUUUUUUCUAAUCAUAAAUAAAUACUGUUUUAUUUUACUGCAUUGUAUAUUUAUA